UCUAGGGGUGGCAGCAGUGGGGAAUAUUGGACAAUGGGCGAAAGCCUGAUCCAGCCAUGCCGCGUGUGUGAAGAAGGCCUACGGGUUGUAAAGCACUUUCAGUGGGGAAGAAAGCCUUGGGGCUAAUACCCUCGAGGAAGGACAUCACCCACAGAAGAAGCACCGGCUAACUCCGUGCCAGCAGCCGCGGUAAUACGGAGGGUGCGAGCGUUAAUCGGAAUUACUGGGCGUAAAGCGCGCGUAGGCGGUCUGAUAAGCCGGUUGUGAAAGCCCCGGGCUCAACCUGGGAACGGCAUCCGGAACUGUCAGGCUAGAGUGCAGGAGAGGAAGGUAGAAUUCCCGGUGUAGCGGUGAAAUGCGUAGAGAGCGGGAGGAAUACCAGUGGCGAAGGCGGCCUUCUGGACUGACACUGACGCUGAGGUGCGAAAGCGUGGGUAGCAAACAGGAUUAGAUACCCUGGUAGUC
rnacentral:rRNA from 1 species